UACGAAGGGUGCAAGCGUUACUCGGAAUUACUGGGCGUAAAGGGUGCGUAGGUGGUUUGUUAAGUCUGCUGUGAAAUCCCCGGGCUCAACCUGGGAAUGGCAAUGGAUACUGGCAAGCUAGAGUGCGGUAGAGGGUAGUGGAAUUCCCGGUGUAGCGGUGAAAUGCGUAGAGAUCGGGAGGAACACCAGUGGCGAAGGCGGCUACCUGGACCAGCACUGACACUGAGGCACGAAAGCGUGGGGAGCAAACAGG
rnacentral:rRNA from 1 species